GGGUUGUGAGGUUAAGCGACUAAGCGUACACGGUGGAUGCCCUGGCAGUCAGAGGCGAUGAAGGACGUGCUAAUCUGCGAUAAGCGUCGGUAAGGUGAUAUGAACCGUUAUAACCGGCGAUUUCCGAAUGGGGAAACCCAGUGUGAUUCGUCACACUAUCAUUAACUGAAUCCAUAGGUUAAUGAGGCGAACCGGGGGAACUGAAACAUCUAAGUACCCCGAGGAAAAGAAAUCAACCGAGAUUCCCCCAGUAGCGGCGAGCGAACGGGGAGCAGCCCAGAGCCUGAAUCAGUGUGUGUGUUAGUGGAAGCGUCUGGAAAGGCGCGCGAUACAGGGUGACAGCCCCGUACACAAAAAUGCACAUAUUGUGAGCUCGAUGAGUAGGGCGGGACACGUGGUAUCCUGUCUGAAUAUGGGGGGCCCAUCCUCCAAGGCUAAAUACUCCUGACUGACCGAUAGUGAACCAGUACCGUGAGGGAAAGGCGAAAAGAACCCCGGCGAGGGGAGUGAAAAAGAACCUGAAACCGUGUACGUACAAGCAGUGGGAGCACGCUUAGGCGUGUGACUGCGUACCUUUUGUAUAAUGGGUCAGCGACUUAUAUUCUGUAGCAAGGUUAACCGAAUAGGGGAGCCGAAGGGAAACCGAGUCUUAACUGGGCGUUAAGUUGCAGGGUAUAGACCCGAAACCCGGUGAUCUAGCCAUGGGCAGGUUGAAGGUUGGGUAACACUAACUGGAGGACCGAACCGACUAAUGUUGAAAAAUUAGCGGAUGACUUGUGGCUGGGGGUGAAAGGCCAAUCAAACCGGGAGAUAGCUGGUUCUCCCCGAAAGCUAUUUAGGUAGCGCCUCGUGAAUUCAUCUCCGGGGGUAGAGCACUGUUUCGGCAAGGGGGUCAUCCCGACUUACCAACCCGAUGCAAACUGCGAAUACCGGAGAAUGUUAUCACGGGAGACACACGGCGGGUGCUAACGUCCGUCGUGAAGAGGGAAACAACCCAGACCGCCAGCUAAGGUCCCAAAGUCAUGGUUAAGUGGGAAACGAUGUGGGAAGGCCCAGACAGCCAGGAUGUUGGCUUAGAAGCAGCCAUCAUUUAAAGAAAGCGUAAUAGCUCACUGGUCGAGUCGGCCUGCGCGGAAGAUGUAACGGGGCUAAACCAUGCACCGAAGCUGCGGCAGCGACGCUUAUGCGUUGUUGGGUAGGGGAGCGUUCUGUAAGCCUGCGAAGGUGUGCUGUGAGGCAUGCUGGAGGUAUCAGAAGUGCGAAUGCUGACAUAAGUAACGAUAAAGCGGGUGAAAAGCCCGCUCGCCGGAAGACCAAGGGUUCCUGUCCAACGUUAAUCGGGGCAGGGUGAGUCGACCCCUAAGGCGAGGCCGAAAGGCGUAGUCGAUGGGAAACAGGUUAAUAUUCCUGUACUUGGUGUUACUGCGAAGGGGGGACGGAGAAGGCUAUGUUGGCCGGGCGACGGUUGUCCCGGUUUAAGCGUGUAGGCUGGUUUUCCAGGCAAAUCCGGAAAAUCAAGGCUGAGGCGUGAUGACGAGGCACUACGGUGCUGAAGCAACAAAUGCCCUGCUUCCAGGAAAAGCCUCUAAGCAUCAGGUAACAUCAAAUCGUACCCCAAACCGACACAGGUGGUCAGGUAGAGAAUACCAAGGCGCUUGAGAGAACUCGGGUGAAGGAACUAGGCAAAAUGGUGCCGUAACUUCGGGAGAAGGCACGCUGAUAUGUAGGUGAAGUCCCUUGCGGAUGGAGCUGAAAUCAGUCGAAGAUACCAGCUGGCUGCAACUGUUUAUUAAAAACACAGCACUGUGCAAACACGAAAGUGGACGUAUACGGUGUGACGCCUGCCCGGUGCCGGAAGGUUAAUUGAUGGGGUCAGCGCAAGCGAAGCUCUUGAUCGAAGCCCCGGUAAACGGCGGCCGUAACUAUAACGGUCCUAAGGUAGCGAAAUUCCUUGUCGGGUAAGUUCCGACCUGCACGAAUGGCGUAAUGAUGGCCAGGCUGUCUCCACCCGAGACUCAGUGAAAUUGAACUCGCUGUGAAGAUGCAGUGUACCCGCGGCAAGACGGAAAGACCCCGUGAACCUUUACUAUAGCUUGACACUGAACAUUGAGCCUUGAUGUGUAGGAUAGGUGGGAGGCUUUGAAGUGUGGACGCCAGUCUGCAUGGAGCCGGCCUUGAAAUACCACCCUUUAAUGUUUGAUGUUCUAACGUGGACCCGUGAUCCGGGUUGCGGACAGUGUCUGGUGGGUAGUUUGACUGGGGCGGUCUCCUCCUAAAGAGUAACGGAGGAGCACGAAGGUUGGCUAAUCCUGGUCGGACAUCAGGAGGUUAGUGCAAUGGCAUAAGCCAGCUUGACUGCGAGCGUGACGGCGCGAGCAGGUGCGAAAGCAGGUCAUAGUGAUCCGGUGGUUCUGAAUGGAAGGGCCAUCGCUCAACGGAUAAAAGGUACUCCGGGGAUAACAGGCUGAUACCGCCCAAGAGUUCAUAUCGACGGCGGUGUUUGGCACCUCGAUGUCGGCUCAUCACAUCCUGGGGCUGAAGUAGGUCCCAAGGGUAUGGCUGUUCGCCAUUUAAAGUGGUACGCGAGCUGGGUUUAGAACGUCGUGAGACAGUUCGGUCCCUAUCUGCCGUGGGCGCUGGAGAACUGAGGGGGGCUGCUCCUAGUACGAGAGGACCGGAGUGGACGCAUCACUGGUGUUCGGGUUGUCAUGCCAAUGGCACUGCCCGGUAGCUAAAUGCGGAAGAGAUAAGUGCUGAAAGCAUCUAAGCACGAAACUUGCCCCGAGAUGAGUUCUCCCUGACCCUUUAAGGGUCCUGAAGGAACGUUGAAGACGACGACGUUGAUAGGCCGGGUGUGUAAGCGCAGCGAUGCGUUGAGCUAACCGGUACUAAUGAACCGUGAGGCUUAACCUUACAACGCCGAAGGUGUUU
rnacentral:rRNA from 1 species